GACGUAGGGCGCGAGCGUUGUCCGGAUUUAUUGGGCGUAAAGAGCUCGUAGGCGGCUUGUCGCGUCGUCCGUGAAAACCUGCAGCUCAACUGCAGGCUUGCGGUCGAUACGGGCAGGCUAGAGUUCGGUAGGGGAGACUGGAGUUCCUGGUGUAGCGGUGAAAUGCGCAGAUAUCAGGAGGAACACCGGUGGCGAAGGCGGGUCUCUGGGCCGAUACUGACGCUGAGGAGCGAAAGCGUGGGGAGCGAACAGG
rnacentral:rRNA from 1 species